rnacentral:lncRNA from 1 species
AUUUGGAGUUGUGAUUUGUUUGUUGAAGGCUCAAUAUGUUAUACUUUUAGCCUUUGUUCGUUUUCACAAUGUUUAAAGUGAAGGAUGGGUCCAACAUGAUGAUAUUUGGCCCUUGGUGUAUGGUGACAUAAGGUGGAUGUUCUUGCUCUGCUAAGUCUUGAGGAUGAGCUUUGUGAUUCCUUUACUUUGAAAAUUUUUCCAUGCCGAGCCUAACCAACCUAUUUUCUAAAGAUCCGCAUGAUUCUUAAGAUAAGUAAACUUUGAUCUGUGGAGUCUGUUUCAUGAGUAAGCAUAUGGUUGUGGUUCAUUUGUGCAUAUGAUUGGUAUCUUUCAUGAGGUUUUCGAAUUCACUAUGUUCUUUAUAACUCUUGUGUGUGAAAAGCUUUUAAGCAUAUGUCAUGUUCUUGAGAGAAAAAAUUCGGAGUGCAUAACCUUUGUGAGUUGAAUUUGAACUUGUUUGGAACGUGUCGAGCUUAAUUUCACCUUUGUUUCUGCCAUGUCUUACUUGUUACAUCGAAAUCUCAUGUUUAUUAACCAUUGAAUUUAUCUUUCAAUUUCGAUUCUUGUGUUAUUCUUGAUGCUAUGAAUUUGAAGGUCUCUGAGACAAUUUCGUUGAAGGCAUUAGAUUGAGUCAUUGUAGUAUUUUCGAGAUUUGUUUUGUUGUUUUUGUUUUAGUAGUAGCAAAGGUUAAGUGUGGGGUUGUUGAUAGGAGCACAAAGUGUGACGUUCUUAAUAUGUUUAUACCCUUUAUUUACCCUUUGUUAACUCAUAUUUAGUUGUUUUAGCUUUAUAUUUGUGUUUAGUGUAGAAUAAUUGCUUAAUUUAGAAAUAUGUAGUUUUUAGUAUUAGAAUACAUAGUAUUUUCGGAUUUGAAUAAUUUGGUGUUGAAAUUGUGCUGAGUGUUGGAAACCCUUGUUUACUCAGGAUUCCUGUCUUGAUCAAGAUUCCAUCUUUCCUCGAAGCCUAGUCCAUGAAGGAGAGGUCCAAACCAAGUCUAACAUGGAGAAGAAGAUCUAAAUUCGGCAGAAUUUCAAGAAUAUCCAAGCCCUUGAAAAUCCGGAUUAAAUCGGGAGAAUUCCUGUGCACGUCUGUCACUUCAACGGACUCUCCAGGACAUCUCACAAUGAAUCAGAA